rnacentral:rRNA from 1 species
AUUGAACGCUGGCGGCAGGCCUAACACAUGCAAGUCGAACGAGUGGCGGACGGGUGAGUAAUGUCUGGGAAACUGCCUGAUGGAGGGGUAUAACUACUGGAAACGGUAGCUAAUACCGCAUACCAUCGGAUGUGCCCAGAUGGGAUUAGCUUGUUGGUGGGGUAACGGCUCACCAAGGCGACGAUCCCUAGCUGGUCUGAGAGGAUGACCAGCCAAACUGUAACUGAGACACGGUCCAGAUUCCUACGGGAGGCAGCAGUGGGGAAUAUUGCACAAUGGGCGCAAGCCUGAUGCAGCCAUGCCGCGUGUAUGAAGAAGGCGUUCGGGUUGUAAAGUACUUUCAGCGGGGAGGCGUUACCCGCAGAAGAAGCACCGGCUAACUCCGUGCCAGCAGCCGCGGUAAUUC